rnacentral:rRNA from 1 species
AAUAGAUACCCGGGUAGUCCAUGCCGUAAACGUUGGGAACUAGAUGUGGGGACCAUUCCACGGUCUCCGUGUCGCAGCUAACGCAUUAAGUUCCCCGCCUGGGGAGUACGGCCGCAAGGCUAAAACUCAAAGGAAUUGACGGGGGGCCCGCACAAGCGGCGGAGCAUGCGGAUUAAUUCGAUGCAACGCGAAGAACCUUACCAAGGCUUGACAUAUACGAGAACGCCGUAGAAAUACGGAACUCUUUGGACACUCGUAUACAGGUGGUGCAUGGUUGUCGUCAGCUCGUGUCGUGAGAUGUUGGGUUAAGUCCCGCAACGAGCGCAACCCUCGUCGUAUGUUGCCAGCACGUAAUGGUGGGAACUCAUAUGAGACUGCCGGGGUCAACUCGGAGGAAGGUGGGGAUGAGGUCAAAUCAUCAUGCCCCUUAUGUCUUGGGCUUCACGCAUGCUACAAUGGCCGGUACAAAGGGCUGCAAUACCGCGAGGUGGAGCGAAUCCCAAAAAGCCGGUCUCAGUUCGGAUUGAGGUCUGCAACUCCG